CACUUUCUGCAAGAAGACCCAGGAGGGGGCAUCUCUUUUGCAUGGUUUCUCGUGACACUGAGGGUAUACUGUGGAUCAGCCCUGCAGGGGCAGCAAGCUGAAGAACAAAGCCAGAACCUAUGAAGAAGUUCUGGAGAUUGUGUCGAAAACAGCACAAGUAUUCAACAGAUGUCACAGAUUUUUCACCAUUUCUCUGUAUGUACAAUAAAUGCUCAGUCCUGUACUCUAUGACUUGUGUCACACAUUACUGCAUGACUUGCAAUUCUAUUAAAGGAAGACAAACACAAUUACACAUCCUUCGGUGCUGUUCCCAAAUUUGUGGGAAUUAAUGCACUCCACACUUCAAACAAAAGCCGACUCUCUCAGGUGGCCGUGAA